rnacentral:tRNA from 1 species
CCUUCGAUAGCUCAGCUGGUAGAGCGGAGGACUGUAGAGGCUCAGCUUGCAGAAAUCCUUAGGUCGCUGGGUCGAUUCCGGCUCCAAAGG